rnacentral:other from 1 species
AAGUUCCUGGAAUAUGCGUUGAGAUAUAUUAAUUGAACCUACAUACUUUAAAUGGGAAUCUGAGUUUCUUAGAUGGAUGUCAAGCCUCCUUGAGUGGAAGACAGAUACUAGAAUAAGACAACCACCUUAUCAAACGAUAGGGAGUCAAUUAAUUGUUUUGACGGUAUUUCGGGAUUUUU